UUAAUUUGAGAGUUUGAUCCUGGCUCAGGACGAACGCUGGCGGCGUGCCUAAUACAUGCAAGUCGAACGAACUCUGGUAUUGAUUGGUGCUUGCAUCAUGAUUUACAUUUGAGUGAGUGGCGAACUGGUGAGUAACACGUGGGAAACCUGCCCAGAAGCGGGGGAUAACACCUGGAAACAGAUGCUAAUACCGCAUAACAACUUGGACCGCAUGGUCCGAGUUUGAAAGAUGGCUUCGGCUAUCACUUUUGGAUGGUCCCGCGGCGUAUUAGCUAGAUGGUGAGGUAACGGCUCACCAUGGCAAUGAUACGUAGCCGACCUGAGAGGGUAAUCGGCCACAUUGGGACUGAGACACGGCCCAAACUCCUACGGGAGGCAGCAGUAGGGAAUCUUCCACAAUGGACGAAAGUCUGAUGGAGCAACGCCGCGUGAGUGAAGAAGGGUUUCGGCUCGUAAAACUCUGUUGUUAAAGAAGAACAUAUCUGAGAGUAACUGUUCAGGUAUUGACGGUAUUUAACCAGAAAGCCACGGCUAACUACGUGCCAGCAGCCGCGGUAAUACGUAGGUGGCAAGCGUUGUCCGGAUUUAUUGGGCGUAAAGCGAGCGCAGGCGGUUUUUUAAGUCUGAUGUGAAAGCCUUCGGCUCAACCGAAGAAGUGCAUCGGAAACUGGGAAACUUGAGUGCAGAAGAGGACAGUGGAACUCCAUGUGUAGCGGUGAAAUGCGUAGAUAUAUGGAAGAACACCAGUGGCGAAGGCGGCUGUCUGGUCUGUAACUGACGCUGAGGCUCGAAAGUAUGGGUAGCAAACAGGAUUAGAUACCCUGGUAGUCCAUACCGUAAACGAUGAAUGCUAAGUGUUGGAGGGUUUCCGCCCUUCAGUGCUGCAGCUAACGCAUUAAGCAUUCCGCCUGGGGAGUACGGCCGCAAGGCUGAAACUCAAAGGAAUUGACGGGGGCCCGCACAAGCGGUGGAGCAUGUGGUUUAAUUCGAAGCUACGCGAAGAACCUUACCAGGUCUUGACAUACUAUGCAAAUCUAAGAGAUUAGACGUUCCCUUCGGGGACAUGGAUACAGGUGGUGCAUGGUUGUCGUCAGCUCGUGUCGUGAGAUGUUGGGUUAAGUCCCGCAACGAGCGCAACCCUUAUUAUCAGUUGCCAGCAUUAAGUUGGGCACUCUGGUGAGACUGCCGGUGACAAACCGGAGGAAGGUGGGGAUGACGUCAAAUCAUCAUGCCCCUUAUGACCUGGGCUACACACGUGCUACAAUGGAUGGUACAACGAGUUGCGAACUCGCGAGAGUAAGCUAAUCUCUUAAAGCCAUUCUCAGUUCGGAUUGUAGGCUGCAACUCGCCUACAUGAAGUCGGAAUCGCUAGUAAUCGCGGAUCAGCAUGCCGCGGUGAAUACGUUCCCGGGCCUUGUACACACCGCCCGUCACACCAUGAGAGUUUGUAACACCCAAAGUCGGUGGGGUAACCUUUUAGGAACCAGCCGCCUAAGGUGGGACAGAUGAUUAGGGUGAAGUCGUAACAAGGUAGCCGUAGGAGAACCUGCGGCUGGAUCACCUCCUUUCUAAGGAA
rnacentral:rRNA from 7 species